GACGAACGCUGGCGGCGUGCCUAAUACAUGCAAGUAGGACGCAGUUGCGAACGGGUGAGUAACGCGUAGGUAACUGCCUCUUAGAGGGGGAUAACUAUUGGAAACGAUAGCUAAUACCGCAUACUAGUAGAUGGACCUGCGUUGUAUUGGCUAGUAGGUAGGGUAAUGGGCUACCUAGGCGACGAUACAUAGCCGACCUGAGAGGGUGGUCGGCCAAACUGGGAAUGAGACACGGCCCAGAAUCCUACGGGAGGGAGCAGUAGGGAAUCUUCGGCAAUGGGGGGAACCCUGACUGAGCAACGCCGCGUGAGUGAAGAAGGUUUUCGGAGCGUAAAGCUCUGUUGUUAAGGAAGCGUUACUUAACCAGAAAGGGACGGCGAACUACGUGCCAGCAGCCGCGGUAAUAC
rnacentral:rRNA from 1 species